GUGCUCUCUUCAGCGGCGCAUACACUAAAAUUGGAACAAUACAGAGAAGAUUAGCAUAGCUCCCGGAGCAAGGAUGACUGCCAAUUUGUGAAGCAUUCCCUAUUUUA